UCCACCGACGACACCGCAUACCCGCCCGCGUCAAUCACGCCCCCCUUCCCCUUCCCCGCCGCACACCUCGCGACGCUGCCUUCCCCGACGCCCCCACCUCCCUCGCGACGCUGCCUCCCCGCGGCGCCCUCCGCCCCAACUCACGGCCCUUGCGACGCGCCGUCUCCCAUGGUUGCCGUCGCCGGCGUACCCCGAUGGCACUGCGACGGUUCUACGGCUUCCCCUCCAACAUCGUCGCACUCCCUGGCUCGAGAUCCCCUUCCUUCCCGCCGCCCGGCUCCUACCCCGACUUCCAGCGCCUCCUCCCCGCCGUGGACGCGCUCCGGACAGGCCAACCGCCAUGCCGGUUAAUGGAGAAUGGAGAUCCAUCCCGAGGCGGAUGAGGCGGACGAUGCCAGAUACGGGCUCGGAGUCCUUCGCCGCCGUGACACUGCAGCCGGCAGCCAAUCCUAAGGUUCCUCUCCGGGCCCCUUGACGCCGCGCUCAUAUUCGGGCCCCUCCUGGGCGCCGCCACCUCCGGUCGCAUGGGAGGCGCUGUGCCCACGCUCCACCGGAGCCUCUCCCAGGGGGCAUGUGGAGCGGGAGCCCAAGGUGCAUCUCGUGUCCGGCAGUCCGAAUCCAGAACGAGUUGCUCGCGACCCGACUGCGGCGGCGGCGGUUACAAGGCGCGCAAAUUCCGGCACCGGAUGCCACGACCCCCGCAAUGAUGUGCGGAUCCGAACAUGGGUGUGACCCCACUGGGAGGUAGCGGCGGCUGGUGGAGGGCUCGGAGCGGGUGCUGCGGACACGCCCAUGUACAUCGCGCGGGAGGCAAUCAAGCUGUGUAGGAAGGUGAGCGUGAAGACGAGGCGGAGUUGCAGCUUCUGCUGGAGAAGUGGCAACUGCAGCUUGCAAGAUUGGUGUUCCAGGAAGAGGAUGCUUUGAUUAAUGAGCAGGCUCAGAUAACAUUGGUAAGCUAGAGCAGAUCGAGAAGAUGUGGCAGGUUACCUGAUUGAUCAUUGUAGAUCAUUGUAUUUCUACAAUUUUGGAAAAGUUUUACCACUAGGACACGAAGAUCUACUUACAUGUUAUGUACAAUCUCCUAAUGGAUAUAAUGCAUAUGGUUUAGAAUCUUGAAAUUUCAGAAAGCAGAGAAUUUUAUAUUUUUACAGUCCUAUGUUACAUUGAAUGAGGAACCGGUCUGCAAGAUUGACCAAAAUAGAAAUGAAAGGUCCAUCCUAGGAAAGCAAUUUUGCAUUAGCUUUCUGAUUCGUGGACCUCCUUGAUUUUCUUUCAGUUGUAGUGUUGACACAGCAAAUCACCUAAUUGAGCACACUGACCAUGAGGGGCUCACGGCUGAGGUCUUGGGCUGGAGCAGAAAAUAUCGUCUUGGAGCAAAUGGCUUGUCUAGCAUUGUACCCAGCACCAAGAGCCUCAACAUGAAGAUUCUGUCCCUCGAUCCUCAACAUGCUUUGAUUAUAAGUCUAGAAAUUUUUGAGAUUCUAUUUUGCUUGCAGAUGCAGUGUUUAUAGCACACGGGUGUCGUGUCGCUUGUUAAUGCACAAGUUCUAUACAUACAAGGAAUAUUCAUGAUGAUCUGGUUGUUUCCA